rnacentral:misc_RNA from 1 species
CCCAGGGUUACGGGAAAGAGGG